rnacentral:rRNA from 1 species
GGAAGAAGCGAAAGUGACGGUACCUGCAGAAGAAGCGCCGGCUAACUACGUGCCAGCAGCCGCGGUAAUACGUAGGGCGCAAGCGUUAUCCGGAUUUAUUGGGCGUAAAGAGCUCGUAGGCGGUUUGUCGCGUCUGCCGUGAAAGUCCGAGGCUCAACCUCGGAUCUGCGGUGGGUACGGGCAGACUAGAGUGAUGUAGGGGAGACUGGAAUUCCUGGUGUAGCGGUGAAAUGCGCAGAUAUCAGGAGGAACACCGAUGGCGAAGGCAGGUCUCUGGGCAUUUACUGACGCUGAGGAGCGAAAGCAUGGGGAGCGAACAGGAUUAGAUACCCUGGUAGUCCAUGCCGUAAACGUUGGGCACUAGGUGUGGGGAACAUUCCACGUUUUCCGCGCCAUAUCUUACGCAUUAAGUGCCCCGCCUGGGGAGUGCGGCCGCAAGGCUAAAACUCAUAGGAAUUGACGGGGGCCCGGACAAUCGGCGGAACGUGCCGAUUAAUUCGAUGCAUCGCGAAUAACCUUAGCUAGGCUUGACAUGUGCCAGACCGCUUCAGAGAUGGAGUUUCCCUUCGGGGCUGGGUCACAGGUG